ensembl:lncRNA
GGGAGGAGGAGGAGGGCGGUGCGGGGAGGAAGGACUGCGGGAAUGCGGGGACCCCGCCGCCGAGCGGCUCCCGGCGCCGCCCCCCGCGCCGGGAGCAGGGCGCCCCCCGCCCGGGGAAGGGCUGUCGGUGCCUCGGGUGGUGAAAUGCGCUUUCCCCCGGCGGUGGUGGUCGCCCAACCCCCUUUUCACCUAUUUUGAGGGACUUCGGGCCGCCGGCUUGAAGGCAGGGAAGAUCCCAAGCAAAACUUGAGGGGGCGGCAGGGGGGAGGGUUUGGGGACUCAGGCAGAGAGGUGCCUGGGAACAUUAAAUUAGAGCACUAUUAAAAAUGCAUGGAGCUGGAGUAUUUAAAAUUCCUCCAUGACAUAUAAUAUUAAUCCAUUUUAUGUAAAAUUCAUACCUGUAACUUAAUUUGGUCCAUUAAUGCACCAGAUCACGUAUUAGUAGACGUACCAUGUUUUAAAUAUGAUGCUGGAAAUGUCCAGAGUUCUGUACUUGGAGACAGAGCAUUAAAAUUAACCGGAUCGAGGACCCAUACGUGUUCGACAUGGGACACCAGCGGAAGAAACGCAGUGCCCGAUCUUGCGGAUGCGGCGAUCGCCCCCUCUGCUCCCAGCUCUCAGUGAGCGAAGUAGAACUGUUCACAUGGGCAAAGGACUGCAGGAAGGAGUAAAGGCUGCAGGAUCUGCCCCGAAGCUUUCUAGAUUUAUACGCUACAUCAUGACAAUACGAUGGGAAGACAUAUUUCCAUUAGCUACAGGCUGGAUGAACCCGAUUCUGCUGCAGUCAUUGCUUUUAUUCUGUGAAACGUCACUCCUUGCAGUCUCUGAGUCUCACAAGGUGGAAAUUAUGUGGGCCCUAAAGUAUAUAUUAUGGUUACACUUUGUUUGCUUCCUAGACUCCUGAUAAUAUGGACAGAGUUGAUAUGCUUUUUUUUAAAAAAAAUGUAAAUUAUGGUAGGCAUGCAGACUAAAAUCUUGCUGAUCUGAUCUUAAUUAAAAUCUAUGUGAAACUAGAUAUAUUGUAAUAUUGGAUUGUUCUGUUUGUACAGAAUCCCUUCUAGAAAUCUGAUCUCGCUGGAAAUUUGUGGGAAACCCCAGUAUGUAACUGGUUCCCCUUUAGUUCUCCUGAAGCCAAUCUGAACAUAUUAUAUUUAUAUACACACACACUUCAGUGGCACUAUAGAAAAUCCACUGAGACCACACUGAAUCUUGAAGAUGACUCAGUAUUUCUGGAAGUCUGUGAUAUGCCAUGAUACGCUACAGAUCUGUUUUUCCAUUAGGCUGCUUGCGCGGCGGAGGAUACAGAGGGAAAUCUGUGGGUUUGUAUGCAUUGCUGAAGUUGUGAGAAGAUCAUGUGUAUUCACACAGCUAACCUUUCACAAUAGAAAUACAUGGGAAAAGGAAAAACAGCCCACCCCUCCCACUAAGGCAUAAAUAUUCAGGGGAUUUCCUCUAGUAACUCCCUUUGAUACUCAUGAAGUUGAUACAUGCUAGCCUGACAUGCUCCGAUGAACAGUAGGCACCAGUUCCUGUUAACAACUGGCCUGCUUUUGCUCUCCUUGAAGUCAAUGGCAGUUUUGUCAUUGACUUAAGUGGGAGCAGGUUGGGUCCAAUGCUUUUUCAAAAUUUAGAUUGGAUGUGCACCAGAUGCUAAGUAAAUUGGCCUAGAAAUGGGUUGGAACCCCCAUUCUAUUAGCCAUGGAGGUAGGUAUAGUGAAACUCUUCAUCCCUGAAGACAUACACAAAGAGAGGGGUGGUGGCUGCUGUUUGUGCUUUUGUCCUAUUAAUAGCAAUCUUUUUCAGGACAUGAGUAUAGAGGGAUUAAUGCUCCUGUUUUUAACCAGAUCAAGUAUGGAAUUUAAAACAAAUUCUGGAUAUCUUUAAACGUGUGGUCYCUUCCUGGCUGGCUGGAGGAGUUCAUCUGUCUUGGCUGGGUUUUCAUGCGUUUCUUCCAAUACCCAGAGUAGAGAGAUUCAUUCCCUUUGUUACCAGCUCUUGCAGUAUUGUCACAAGAUCCUUGAUAGUGUUUGAAUGUACAGUUUUAUCUGAGAAUUGAUGGGUUCAGAUCAGAUUGUAGAUGCUCUCUGCAUCUUAGAAAAGCUCCUUUCAAUGUAGAACCAGGGAAAAGCAUGCUAAAAAUGAAAACAAUUACUGGUCUUGUAUGCCCUUUGUCGUGGGGAUAAUCCCAUUAAAGUCGGUGAGGAUACUCUCGUGAGUAAAGGAAGCUGAAUUUGGCAGCACAUCUGAGUAUGUGAAAAUAUGAUUCACUGCAACUGAAAAAAUAAACCUGUCCAUUGUC